AAAUAAAUAAAAAAUAAACAGGGGUCUUUAUGACAAUAAAGCUAUAAAAACAUAAAAAAUAUUUACAAAUUUAUGAAAAACUUUAUAUCUGUGGAUAGGUCUGAAGUUGUUUAAAAGAUCUGAUGUGAAAAAAAAUGAAAAAACAAUUCAUAAAAUUCAUUGCUAUAUCACCUUUUGGAUGGGGACCAUUUUGGGUCCCGAGGGAUACCAAUGGAAGUAUAUUGCAAAAACUCUUAUUGCUCCAAAAAUAAUAAUGCAUCCAAAUCAAUUCUAUUCUGAAUUCUUUACCUAUCCAAGGCUCUAAUAACCUCAUGCCAAGUAGUUCCAUUUGCAACUCAUUUUUUGAAAAUAUUGCAUAUUAUGGUUUUUUACCCCCCAAAAUAAAAAAUAAACAGGGGUCUUUAUGACAAUAAAGCCAUAAAAACCUAAAAAAUAUGAAAAAAAUUAUGAAAAACUUUAUAUCAGUGGAUAGGUCUGAAGUUGUUUAAAAGAUCUGGUGUGAAAAAAACUGGAAAAAAAAUUCAUAAAAUCCAUUGCUAUAUCACCUUUUGGAUGGGGACCAUUUUGGGUCCCGAGGACCAUAAAAGGGUGUAAAUUUGAAAAACUCUUAUUGCUCCAAAAAUAAUAAUGCAUCCAAAUCAAUUCUAUUCUGAAUUCUUUACCUAUCCAAGGCUCUAAUAACCUCAUGCCAAGUAGUUCCAUUUGCAACUCAUUUUUUGAAAAUAUUGCAUAUUAUGGUUUUUUACCCCCCAAAGAAAAUAAACAGGGGUCUUUAUGACAAUAAAGCCAUAAAAACAUAAAAAAUAUUGAGAAAAUUAUGAAAAACUUUAUAUCAGUGGAUAGGUCUGAAGUUGUUUAAAAGAUCUGAUGUGAAAAAAAAUGAAAAAAAAAUUCAUAAAAUUCAUUGCUAUAUCACCUUUUGGAUGGGGACCAUUUUGGGUCCCGAGGACCAUAAAAGGGUGUAAAUUUGAAAAACUCUUAUUGCUCCAAAAAUAAUAAUGUAUCCAAAUCAAUUCUGUUAUGAAUUUUUUACCUAUCCAAGGCUCUAAUAACCUCAUGCCAAGUAGUUCCAUUUGCAACUCAUUUUUUAAAAAUAUUGCAUAUUAUGGUUUUUUACCCCCC
ensembl:lncRNA